AGAUGUAUGCUCGUAGGUGACCUGCGGAGGAUCAUUA
rnacentral:rRNA from 1 species